GCGUAAGGGCAGCUGUGUGAGGCUAGUGUUGAGAGAGAAGAGCGCUGACUGCUAUGAAGUGCUGUGGGUUCACAUCGAACGCAGGUGGUCAUCAAGAGAUAGAAGGUGAUUUCUGAGUCUGCUCAUCUGACCUGGUUCCUGGAAGAGCAGCAGAAUGUGCUUCUAGCCCAACUGGAGGGGCUGGACCAGGGCAUCCCACAGUACCAGGAAGAGGUUGACCUCCUGGCCACUGCAGAGAUCUGCCGAUUCAGCCCCUGAUUGCAGAGCUGGAGGAGAAGAAGGAGAGACUGGCAGCGGAGCUCCUGACGAAGUGAGUCUGAAAAAAGUGAGUCUUUCAUAGCCAUAUCAGGAAACCACGGAAAAUACUUUGUUGAGGGUGAAGUGAGAUGUCCAAAGAACAGUGAGUUGAGUCUUCAAGA
rnacentral:lncRNA from 1 species